rnacentral:lncRNA from 1 species
GUGCUGGGAUUACAGACGUGAGCCACCGCACCUGGCUCAGAGGGCCUUUUCUAACUGGAGAAUUCCUGCCGGUGUGCCCCUGCUCCACAAAUCCCCUUCCCCAUGCCUCUCUCAAAGCAACCCUCAUCCCUUGUAACCCUCUUGGUGAAUCAAAGCCCCCUCUACUGGGCCUUAGCCCAGCUGUUCCUCUGCUAGGAAUCCCUUCCUCUCUCUGCCUAACGAAGUUAUCUGCAGCCCAGCCACCACCUCCUCCAAGAAGUCCUCCUGGAUCUUCAGGCUGUAUUCUAGCGCUUCCCUAGCCCUGGCUCUUGCCUACACCUGCAUUUACCCCAACAGGGACUUGCUCUCCUGGACUGUGUGGCCUCUCUUGGUUUUGAUAUAAGCAGGAGCUGUGGACCCACAUGGCCAGUCACUGACCCUCCUCCACCAGGAACUUCCUGCAGGCUCAGGCAAGACAGGAGGACCCCAUGGCUCUGGGCUACAGCUCAGGGUUUCCACUGCAGAGUUCCUCACCCAGGCCCUUGAGGUUACCCACUCACCAGCCGCCUGGAUGUCCUUCACAAUCUGGGCCAUGAGGCUGCCGUUGUAGAAGGCCUGGGCACCCUCAAUGGCCAGCGUCUCAUAGGUGUCAGCCAGCCGCAGCAGGAUCAGUCUCUCCCCCUCCCAAAGCACCUUUCUAUCCCGGCAGAACACCUCACUGGGGCAGAGGGGGCUCAUGUGAGGCAGCAGGUGGGGUGGACUUAGCUAGACCAACCCCCACACCUGCCCACACAGGAGACCAGCACAAAGCAGGGGCAGCGCCUGUCACGGGUGGGUGGCCCUGUCACUCAGCGCUCGUCCUCCUAGUGUCCCUUCCGGGAACCUCCUAGUGUCCCUUGCCAC